UAAAGAUUAAAAGGAUUUCGUUUGAUAGUUUCCAAAAUUAUAGCGCUACUAAAUUCUAGUACUUAGUCCUUAGUACUUACAAAAUCGUAUAUGAUAAACAACAAACACAAAAUAUCAGUGCAUAAGUUUAUUUAUCUUCAAGAUAAUCAUUUUGAAAAAUAAUUUCUCGGAAAGAAUGUAAAAAAAACAUUCUAUGUAAUGUUAUUCAUUAUUCGUAAAUUAGGUAUUUAGGUAAAACGUGGACAAAUGACAAACAAUUCUGAUAAACUCUUAUCUAACCCUAUUCAAAGAUUGCUUUGAUUGUCUAUAUUGCUAUCAUUAUCGCUUGUAAUCAAUAGGAGUAUCAGAUAUGAAGCUAUUCAUAGUGCUUGCUUGUCUCACAGUAGCGUGGGCUGUACCAUUGACUAAGGAGAAUGAUAAUAUUCAAGAAUUAGAAGUAAUUCCUGAAAAUGAUUCAAUUGAUUCCUCUGGCACAGAAUCUGCGGCAUAUUUGCCUCAAAUUAUAAAAGUUGCAGAUGUUCUUAGGGAAUAUGAAAGGGCGAAUGCUAAGCCUAGCGAAGAAACACAAAAUGUACCAGACAUUGAACCACUUAACGGACCAGAGGUGAAUGCAGACUUUCUUGAAGAUGACAGUGCUGAUGAACUACCUGAUUUAGGAAAUUUGAUGCCAUUAAAUGAGAAUGACCAGGAUGCGAUUCAAAUUGCUGCCCCAUUUGAUAACGAUGUCGACGAAAAAUCUGGUUUUGAUGAAAUUCAAAUAGUUAAUUUGGAUGAUUUUCGCGGUAUAAUGGGUAUAGCGCCAUCUGAACUUGAUUCAUUGAGAGUCUAUUUUGAUGAUGACAUGGCUCGCGAACUCGCUGACGAUAAUGAGGCACCGGAAAUAAUAAGACUUAACUACGAUGACCCAAAUUUACGUUAAGACUUGUUCUGUAAUUUCUAUUAACUUUUUAAUAAACUUAUAUAAAUAUA